GGGCGAGUGCUGGAAUGGUUUACAGAGAGGACUUAAAAUCCUUGCCCCGAAAGGGGUUGUGGGUUCGAAUCCCACCUCGCCCACCA
rnacentral:tRNA from 2 species